CUCCACCUCCCUCCUCCAGUCCUCCCCUCCCGAUUCGUUCGCCUCCCUUUCCGCCGUCUCUCUCUCGUAGCACCUCACGAAGAAAAACCCUAACAAUCCGCCACCACCGUUCUCUUCUGGCUUGCAGCAACUCCCGGAAGGAGAAGGAGGACAGCGAUGGUGGCUGGGUCAUGACGGAAGCUCCGACCUCCCACCCCUCCUUGAGCCUCCGUCUCGCCGCCCUCCGCUUCACCGUCGUGUUAUGAAGACGAGUGCACCCACCUUUUCCCCCUCUCAUUCCCCGUGUGGAGUGCCUCCAUACCCCCAUCGAGUACCUAUCUUCCCCUCUCCCGUGGCAUGCACCCUGUGGCAUCUUUAACCACAAUCCGCUUCUUGGUUACAAAAAUUAAUCCUGACUUGCUCUUUCGGGUCAGUUUGGAGCUGCAGUUAAAGUUUGGGUAACAAUUCAGAUCAAUGUCGAGGCAAAGAACAAAGUCAUGGGAUCAAAGCUUCAGAAACAACUACUGCUAACACACGUAGUUCUUGCCAUGGAUUUAUGCCAAUGCAUCUGAUAUGCCGGUUUAUGGAAGCAGAAACAUAUGAAUGUGAAGGUUACCUGGGUGAAGGGGAUGGAGCCUGCUCGGAGCGACUACUUGGUUGAGAAUGGCAAACAGAAAAAAAUGCAUACUCUGUUAUUUGAAUUGGCAUACCAGGAUAUUAAUUAGUACUUGAUGUUGCAUUUGCAAUAUCUCAUCCCGAAAAAGUUGCAUGUUAUGAUUUGGCCUCCAUUCAUUUGUUCCUUGUUUCGCUGGUCAUCGUACAGUCGUAUGUGACUACUUCACCUAAUGAGAUGAUCUUAUCACAAGUGCAGGAGCUAACUGUUCCUGCUACAAAUGCAUUCUUAUGACUUUGAUUACCUUUAGUUAUUUGGCGCUCUCAUUAAUAUA